GGCCUCGUAGCUCAGUUGGCUAGAGCGUUGGCUGUACUAAAGUCUUGCCCUUGCUGGCAUAGGCUCGAAUCCCACCGAGGCCG
rnacentral:tRNA from 1 species